rnacentral:rRNA from 1 species
CCUACGGGUGGCAGCAGUGGGGAAUAUUGCACAAUGGGGGAAACCCUGAUGCAGCGACGCCGCGUGAGUGAAGAAGUAUUUCGGUACGUAAAGCUCUAUCAGCAGGGAAGAAAAUGACGGUACCUGACUAAGAAGCCCCGGCUAACUACGUGCCAGCAGCCGCGGUAAUACGUAGGGGGCAAGCGUUAUCCGGAUUUAUUGGGUUUAAAGGGUGCGCAGGCGGCGAGUUAAGUCAGCGGUAAAAUUUCGGGGCUCAACCCCGACGAGCCGUUGAGACUGGCUUGCUAGAGUGGGCGAGAAGUAUGCGGAAUGCGUGGUGUAGCGGUGAAAUGCAUAGAUAUCACGCAGAACUCCGAUUGCGAAGGCAGCAUACCGGCGCCCAACUGACGCUCAGGCACGAAAGCGUGGGUAUCGAACAGGAUUAGAUACCCUAGUAGUC